AGGCAGCAGGCGCGCAAAUUACCCACUCCCGGCACGGGGAGGUAGUGACGAAAAAUAACAAUACGGGACUCUUUCGAGACCCCGUAAUUGGAAUGAGUACACUCUAAAUCCUUUAACGAGGAUCUAUAGGAGGGCAAGCCUGGUGCCAGCAGCCGCGGCAAUUCCAGCUCCUAUAGCGUAUAUUAAAGUUGUUGCGGUUAAAAAGCUCGUAGUUGGAUCUCAGUUCCAGACGGGCGGGUCCGCCUACCGGUGGUAACCGCCCGGCCUGAACAACCAGCCGGUUUCCCUAGAUGAUCUUCGCUGGUUGUCUUGGGUGACCGGCACGUUUACUUUGAAAAAAUUAGAGUGCUCAAAGCAGGCGCGACGCCUGAAUAAUGGUGCAUGGAAUAAUGGAAUAGGGCCUCGGUUCUAUUUUGUUGGUUUUCGGAACGCGAGGCAAUGAUUAAGAGGGACAGACGGGGGCAUUCGUAUUGCGACGCUAGAGGUGAAAUUCUUGGACCGUCGCAAGACGAACUACUGCGAAAGCAUUUGCCAAGAAUGUUUCCAUUAAUCAAGAACGAAAGUUAGAGGUUCGAAGGCGAUCAGAUACCGCCCUAGUUCUAACCAUAAACGAUGCCAACCAGCGAUCCGCCUGGGUUCCUCAAAUGACUCGGCGGGCAGCUUCCGGGAAACCAAAGUGUUUGGGUUCCGGGGGGAGUAUGGUUGCAAAGCUCAAACUUAAAGGAAUUGACGGAGGGGCACCACCAGGAGUGGAUUUUGCGGUUUAAUUUGACUCAACACGGGAAAACUUACCCGGCCCGGACACCGGAAGGAUUGACAGAUUAAGAGCUCUUUCUUGAUUCGGUGGGUGGUGGUGCAUGGCCGUUCCUAGUUGGUGGAGCGAUUUGUCUGGUUAAUUCCGUUAACGAACGAGACUCUAGCCUGCUAAAUAGGCGUUCCGAUCCCUUGAGUCGGACGUUCUUCUUAGAGGGACAAGCGGCGUUCAGCCGCGCGAGACAGAGCGAUAACAGGUCUGAGAUGCCCUUAGAUGUCCGGGGCCACACGCGUGCUACACUGAAGGAAUCAGCGUGUGCUUUCCCUGUCCGGCAGGACUGGGUAACCCGUUGAACCUCCUUCGUGAUAGGGAUAGGGGCUUGUAAUUGUUCCCCUUGAACGAGGAAUUCCCAGUAAGCGCGAGUCAUAAGCUCGCGUUGAUUAGGUCCCUGCCCCUUGUCCACACCGCCCGUCGCUACUAGCGAUUGAACGAUGGGGUGAGGUCUUCGGACCGGCGCACGGAGCGGUCUAACCGCCGCGCCGUCGUGCCAGAAAGAUGACCGAACUUGAUCGUUUAGAGCAAGUAAAAGUCG
rnacentral:rRNA from 1 species